rnacentral:rRNA from 1 species
CNCGNNAAACCUUACCUGGCCUUGACAUGUACCGAAUUGAGCAGAGAUGUUCAAGUGCUCGAAAGAGAACGGUAACACAGGUGCUGCAUGGCUGUCGUCAGCUCGUGUCGUGAGAUGUUGGGUUAAGUCCCGCAACGAGCGCAACCCUUGCCAUUAAUCGCCAUCAUUUAGUUGGGCACUUUAAUGGGACUGCCGGUGACAAACCGGAGGAAGGUGGGGAUGACGUCAAGUCCUCAUGGCCCUUAUGGCCAGGGCUUCACACGUAAUACAAUGGUCGGUACAGAGGGUUGCCAACCCGCGAGGGGGAGCCAAUCCCAGAAAGCCGAUCGUAGUCCGGAUUGUAGUCUGCAACUCGACUGCAUGAAGUCGGAAUCGCUAGUAAUCGCGGAUCAGCAUGUCGCGGUGAAUACGUUCCCGGGCCUUGUACACACCGCCCGUCACACCAUGGGAGUGGGUUUUACCAGAAGUAGUUAGUCUAACCGCAAGGAA